CAAUAGCGUAUAUUAAAGUUGUUGCAGUUAAAAAGCUCGUAGUUGGAUUUCUGGUGGGAGCGAUCGGUCUGGCGCUUAGCGCGAGUACUUGCAUCGUCUCCGGCCAUCCUUGGGGAGAGUCUGUCUGGCAUUAGGUUGUCGGGCAGAGGAUCCUCAUCGUUUACUGUGAAAAAAUUAGAGUGUUCAAAGCAGGCUUAUGCCGUUGAAUAUAUUAGCAUGGAAUAAUAAGAUAGGACUUUGGUACUAUUUUGUUGGUUUGCGCACCAAAGUAAUGAUUAAUAGGGACAGUUGGGGGCAUUCGUAUUCCGUUGUCAGAGGUGAAAUUCUUGGAUUUACGGAAGACGAACUACUGCGAAAGCAUUUACCAAGGAUGUUUUCAUUA
rnacentral:rRNA from 1 species